rnacentral:piRNA from 1 species
UAGUUGAAUUGGUGCAAACAU